rnacentral:rRNA from 1 species
AGAGUUUGAUCCUGGCUCAGAAUCAACGCUGGCGGCGUGCCUAACACAUGCAAGUCGAACGAGAAAGUGGAGCAAUCCAUGAGUAAAGUGGCGACCGGGUGAGUAACACGUGACUAACCUACCUUCGAGUGGGGAAUAACCUCGGGAAACCGGGGCUAAUACCGCAUAAUGUCUUCGGACCAAAGGAGCAAUUCGCUGGAAGAGGGGGUCGCGGCCGAUUAGCUAGUUGGCGGGGUAACGGCCCGCCAAGGCAAUGAUCGGUAGCCGGCCUGAGAGGGCGCACGGCCACACUGGAACUGAAACACGGUCCAGA